AUGGUGCCAUACCAUUCAAUUUCUCAGUUGCCAUGUCUGAAUGUUUAUCUUUGUAAUAAUGCUGUUUUUAUGCUCCUCAUCUCAAUAUACAGGUGUAACAAAAUGGAGAACAAGUCUGAGCCACGCCAGGAAUUCUUCAAAAUGUACACACUGCAGCCCUGCAGACACUGCCAUGAGCCACCAGAUCCAGUCUGUAUCCAGGUCAGAGGGUCACUGCAGUCACCCGGAUCCAGUACGUAUCCAGCCCAGAUGGUGGAUCAGCACCUAGAAAGGACCUCUACAGCCCUGAAAGUCAGUGGAGACCAGGACAACUAGAUGAGCCCCAGAGACAGAUCCCCUGUAAAGACCUUGUCUCAGACGACCACCGGGACAAGACCACAGGAAACAGAUGAUUCUUCUGCACAAUCUGACUUUGCUGCAGCCUGGAAUUGAACUGUUGGUUUCAUCUGGCCAGAGGAGAACUCGGCCCCCGACUGAGCCUGGUUUCUCCCUAAGGUUUUUCUCCUAUUCUGUCACCGCAUUCCUUAUAACUUUUAGGCCUGGUUUCACAGACAGGGCUUGGAUUAAGUCAGGAUUAGGCCGUAGUUAAAAUAGAACAUUGAAGUAGCUUUUAUAAGCAUGCCUUAGAGAAAAAAAACAUUACUGAUGUGCAUCUUGAGACAAAACCAUGGCACUGACAUAUUUUUGUUUUGUUUAUGAUGCCCAAUAGUUGCCAGAUGCUGUCCUGUCGGACAUUCUUCUUCAUGUGGUCCUGGAGGAGGGUGAUACUGCAGUAUUAAAUCUGUCUCUGGUUUUGGCUUGACAGUAUGUAUUUUUUUUAUAUACAUAUUUGAUUAGAGGUUUAAAAUUGUGCCAUACCAUUCAAUUUCUCAGUUGCCAUGUCUGAAUGUUUAUCUUUGUAAUAAUGCUGUUUUUAUGCUCCUCAUCUCAAUAUACAGGUGUAACAAAAAGGAGAACAAGUCUGAGCCACGCCAGGAAUUCUUCCGAAUGUACACACUGCAGCCCUGCGAUGAGGUUUACAACAACUGCUUACCAGGUGUGCAAAUUAAGCAUGAAAAUGUGAUCACUGCUAGAUACAUGAUGACAAAAUGCAAUGGGAAUAAUCAUUAAUAUGGCUGUGCAUGCAUGUCUACUGUUAAUAAAACAAUUUAGGUAUUAAUGUCACCGUUUUCUUAUGAAUUAUAAAAUGCAGCAGCUAGAGUUCUUACUAGAACUAGGAAGUAUGACCAUAUUAGCCCGGUUCUGUCAACACUGCACUGGCUCCCUUUUAAAGUAGGUCACCGUAGCCACCAGAUCCAGUCUGUAUCCAAGUCAGAGGGUCAC
rnacentral:lncRNA from 1 species